CUGAGUUUCAAGCCAUGAAUCAUUGUCAAGGGAUCUCCUCAAGCUGCCGUGAGCAAGAAGUGCUAACGGACGAGCCUCAAUGGGUACGGAUGCUCUUUGGAGGAAUCAUGGUGAAUUAAUUUGAACCUAUUAAGAAAUCUUGGAUCAGUGGACUCUUCAUGUAAGAACCCUUGAUACUAUGCAACUGGCUGAUAAAUGGAUAACUUUAUUUUUCUCUUCAAAAUCAUCAGGGGUGCUGAUUUCCCACUGAAGAAGUCAUAAGCCUUGCCCAAGCAUCACUUGGUAA